rnacentral:rRNA from 1 species
CCCUUAGAUGUUCUGGGCCGCACGCGUGCUACACUGAGUGGAUCAGCGGGUCAGGUUGCGCGAAAGUGUUUCCUAAUCUUUAAAUCCGCUCGUGAUGGGGAUUGACGGUUGCAAUUUUCCGUCAUGAACGAGGAAUACCUUGUAAGCGCGGGUCAUCAUCCCGCGCUGAAUACGUCCCUGCCCUUUGUACACACCGCCCGUCGCUCCUACCGAUUGAAUGUUUCGGUGAAGAUUCCGGAUAGGACUGAUUUGAUUUAUUUCAUUUCUGACCUAAAAGCUAUCUAAACCUCAACAUUUAGAGGAAGGUGAAGUCGUAACA